GGGACAGGCUGUGGUGUGCCCUGUGAGGGACAGGGACAGGGACAGGGUGUGGUGUGCCCUGUGAGGUACAGGGACAGGCUGUGCUGUAUGGCACAGGGACUGCCUUUGGUGUGCCCUGUAAGAGACAAUGUGUCACCAAAGCCCGGCCUGAUGCACGAAGGGAUUUUGUGUGGCUCACUGGGGAGCUGAGUGAUUUUACAGAGUUUGGUGGCUGUGUGUGGGAGGGUGAGAGCCCACAUGCAAGGGGUGGAGAGGUGGCUGAGUCUUCCAGGAAUUGGUUAGAAAGGGAUCUCAGGUAUAUGAAAGAUGAGAAAGAAGGAAUGAGGAAAAGGUAAGGGUACAGGCAAGGAUGAUGGCGCAGUUUUUACAACCACCAGUUGGAAAAGCUGCAGGGAGCCCCAGGAGCAAAGGGAAGGGGGCAGCCACCAGGACAGUGACUGGGAAGGAGUCAGUGUGGCAUUUGUAAAAAAGAACAUUGGAAAUGGAUUGUUAAGGGUGUCAGGAUCUGCUAUUGUACCUGGGCUCAUCACACUGGAGCCCUUGCUGGACCAAGAAUUGUUUCCUGGUAGACAUGGGAACUUCUCUGUCUGAUGUGAAUUUUAUGCCAAAGGGGGAACAAUUGUUCAGCUGUUCUUUUGCCAAGUGGGCAGAAUGAGCAGGUGCAUUUGGUUCAAGCACUGUUGGUGAAUGUGUGUGGAUGGGAAUGAGCACUCUGGGUGUUAUAUCCACAGCUGCGUCUACCCAUUCCCUUCAAACAUGUAGUACAGGGUUGGGAGAGGCCAGGAAGAACGAGACAUGAACAGUGUUGUGUCCACUGGGUUGUUUUACACUUUUUCUCUAUGGAACAAUAUUUAUCACUUUUGGUUUUUUUAACCCAGUUUAAGGCUCUGUACUGACUGUGUGUGGCAAAACUGAAGGGCUACCACGAGCCAGCUGAGUCCUCUGGCUUGCUCAGAUCAUGCUGCUGAGGAGCCAGCUCCUUGGGAAGAUGGAUAGAGGGACUAGGUGAGGAUAGAAGCUGUGGGAGAGUCUGCUUUGCCUCCCUGCCCCUGCCAGCCUGGUUCUGGGACCUGGCUCUGGUUCUGGUACCUGGGCUGCUGCAGGCUGCUCCUCCCUGGGAGCUGAGGGUGCAGAGCCCCAGGGGCUGCCUGAGGUUACAGGGGUUUCUUGAGGUCACUUGGGGUUUCUUGAGGUCAUUGGAAGCUCUGGUAGGAGUUUCUUGAAGUCACUGCAGUCCCUGGGAGGCUAUCUCUCUCUGUUAAUGGACUAUCAAGUCUCACUGCAUGCCUCAUAAAUUCCAUCAUCCCAUUGUGAGAUGCUCCACCCAGAGGGAGGAACCAAACACCCACCUGGUUAUAACUGGGGGUUUUGGAACACCAGAGCUGCCUUUUUUUUAUAGGAUUCCCAGGGGACAAGCUCUACAUAACCACCACUGGACCUUCAGAAGAAGACCAGAACCUUCCACAGGAUCACUGCUUCAUCAGAAUCACAUCUGUCACUCCAGGAGGAUUGCAGCCACCAUUUAACAGGACUGCUACCACCACUCUGACCCCCAGAGUGCCAGGGUGAACUACCUGCCUGCUGUAAUGCUCCUGUUGAGACCAGGGAAUGCCUGCACCGUGUAUACCAUGCUUGGGAACACAACAUGACCUGGUGUGGCACAAUAUCUUCUCAAGGAGGAGGAAAGAAGGAGAAAGUCAGCAGACACCACAUCUGCACAGCCUGCCACAGAGGGAAAAGGAACCCAAAGGGCAGUCCGUGCUUCCACACAGAUCAUCACCAAACCAGGACAGCCCGAGCCAGCAGCAGCUGCCCCUGUUCAGAAGAAGAAAUCCAAGAGCAAAUCCAUCCACACAGUGACUGAUGAGGAGGUGGCCAGACCCUCACACCCAGCAGAAGAGCCAGAGCCAGGGGUCAUCACUCUCUGUCUGUCCCUGGGUGGGCUGCCAGAUUCCCCAGAGCAAUGAGUCCAUCCUGGCCUGGCUGCUCUGCCUCUGGGACACCACAGCCAGUGACACAGCUGUGGACAGAAGUGAGGCCAGGCAGCUGGGAUCCCUGUCCUGGGAUGUGCUGGUGCCCAGGAGACCAGGAGAACCCAGGAAACUCUCAGCCUCUGGCAGUGGCUGCUGGUGAGGGUUAGGGAUGGAUGCCUUUGUAAAGAAGACCUCCAGGUGCACCAAGGGAAAUGGAGCACAGUGGAACAAGGAGAUAUUUUUUCCCUAAGAGCCCCAAGGGUGUACAGUGCACUUUGCAGAUGUGGUUGAGAUUUGCAUGUCUUGGACCAGAGAGAUCCUCCUGUCAUCUGGAGAUGCUGCAGUGGGGGGAAGGAGAAGACAAGGUGGGAGCACUGGUCAGCAAGCUAAGAAUUUACAAGGGCACUGUCACUGCCCUCUUAUGCACCCAUGACUUGUCCAUGGAAACAAAGCUGCUUGAGCACGUCUGGAGCUUGGAAGAAAAAAAUGAAGAGGGCCACCAGAAACUGAGAAAGGAGCUUCAGGAAGGCAUUUACCACAUCUCACCAGAACCAGCUAGUCUCUGCCUUUAGGAGUACAUGUCCUCCAGCCAGGAAGAGAAAAUACACUCCAAAGUAACCUCUGUUUUUUCUUUCAGGAACAUGGGAUGGAAACCCCCCCUCCUCCUCCUUAGCAGCCUGGGUUCCUGAACAGAAAAGAGGAACAUCUACCAGAAGCAGCUCAUCUAGAGUCAACAGUGCUCUGGUCUCAUGGACAGAACUCUGGUUGGUAUAGGAAUGAUAAUAUUUUUCUGAUUCUCUUGAAGGGACCUCGGGAACACAUUUACAGGAGGAGACCAACGUGUGCCUUGGCCAGUAUUAGAGGGGCCCUGCCUCUAGCCAGGUGGAGGAAAGGGGCAGGAAGAUUUAUUGGACUGUGUGGAUCCCAUGGUCUGGCACAGCUUUGGUGGACACCAAUGUAUCCUGAUGCCACCAAGGUAUGUGGGAGCAGAACCCAUUUGUAUUUCUGGGGUGACAGCAGGAUCCCAGCAGCUGAAGUGAAUUUAUCUGAGAGUGGCUGGCCCAGAUAAGAGUCUCCUGCAUCUUCAGCACAGACCACCUCAGAAAAGGGUAUUUCAAAGACCCAAAAGGACAUCAUUGGGCUGUUGGGAUUGCUGCUAUAGAGACAGAAAGCAGACAACUGAAUGCCCUGCCUGAUCUCUCAGCUGAGCCCCCUCUGUUGGACUGCUGAGAGCUGAAGAACAACAGGAACCAAUCACCACAGCAACAGUGCACCAGCAGCAAUUCUUCAUCAUAAUAUAAAUUUGCUAUAGAACAUCACAACAAGGGCAAAGUGCCUUUUUUUUCCCCCCUUAAUUAAAACAAAAUAAAA